rnacentral:tRNA from 1 species
GGUGGCUCAGUGGUAGAGUGCUGGCCUUGCACUCCUGAGGCCCUGGGUUCGAUUCCUCAGCACCA